UGAUAGCUAUGAAGCGUGAAGUUGCGGUUUAUCCGGUAUCUCCGUGGAGCGAAUGUCAAGUCAAGAUACUGACGACAA
rnacentral:ncRNA from 1 species